rnacentral:misc_RNA from 1 species
CACAAAAAAAGUUUUUACUUUUUAAACCACACUGUGAACCAAAAAACCAAUACUGCUUCGGUAGCAGGCCCGGUUCCGUUCUCCGAACGGUUCAGGUGUCCGUCAGCCUGCCGGUAGCACCCUCAACCAAACUUGUUUUUAUAAAUUUUGUCUGAACAGAAUCAUUUUCGAAUGAAAAUUA